GACGAACGCUGGCGGCGUGCUUAACACAUGCAAGUCGAACGGAAAGGCCCUGCUUUUGUGGGGUGCUCGAGUGGCGAACGGGUGAGUAACACGUGAGUAACCUGCCCUUGACUUUGUGAUAACUUCAGGAAACUGGGGCUAAUACCGGAUAGGAGCUCCUGCUGCAUGGUGGGGGUUGGAAAGUUUCGGCGGUUGGGGAUGGACUCGCGGCUUAUCAGCUUGUUGGUGGGGUAGUGGCUUACCAAGGCUUUGACGGGUAGCCGGCCUGAGAGGGUGACCGGCCACAUUGGGACUGAGAUACGGCCCAGACUCCUACGGGAGGCAGCAGGGGGGAAUAUUGCACAAUGGGCGGAAGCCUGAUGCAGCAACGCCGCGUGCGGGAUGACGGCCUUCGGGUUGUAAACCGCUUUCGCCUGUGACGAAGCGUGAGUGACGGUAAUGGGUAAAGAAGCACCGGCUAACUACGUG
rnacentral:rRNA from 1 species